rnacentral:lncRNA from 1 species
AUCACUCCUGGUAAGAGAAAAUUGCAUCUUACUUGUUCUGAUCGAUUGAUGAUUCAGGAAGCCUUUGAUCAAAGCGGAAUAAAAAUUAGAAAGAGUUUCUAAUAUUUUAUUAAUUGAAUCAUCAUAUAAGAUUGAGAGAAAUAUGAGUAUGAUAUUGGAUUUGACAUCAUUCCAUAUCCAGAGUCAUAUUCGGGGUGCAGGGAGAUCGCAGGAUCAAAUUGUACGGUAACUUUCCACUGAAGGAUAUUUUUGAUAUUUUUAUCAAAAAUUUUAUAUCUUUCAGGUAGACAUGAUACAUUGCUAGACAUCAAUCUUUUCUUAUGGGUUUGAUCAAAUUAAAGAGUUUAAUUCAAUCACCAAUUAGAAAGAGUUCUAAUUGUUGAAAUCGGGUUAGCUCGAUUGGAUCUAGAUCGGUUAGAUU